rnacentral:rRNA from 1 species
AUUGAACGCUGGCGGCAUGCUUUACACAUGCAAGUCGAACGGUAACAGGGUGCUUGCACCGCUGACGAGUGGCGAACGGGUGAGUAAUGCGUCGGAACGUGCCGAGUAGUGGGGGAUAACGCAGCGAAAGUUGUGCUAAUACCGCAUACGUACUGAGGUAGAAAGUGGGGGACCUUCGGGCCUCACGCUAUUCGAGCGGCCGACGUCUGAUUAGCUAGUAGGUGAGGUAAAGGCUCACCUAGGCGACGAUCAGUAGCGGGUCUGAGAGGAUGAUCCGCCACACUGGGACUGAGACACGGCCCAGACGCCUACGGGAGGCAGCAGUGGGGAAUUUUGGACAAGGGGCGAAAGCCUGAUCCAGCCAUUCCGCGUGUCUGAAGAAGGCCUUCGGGUUGUAAAGGACUUUUGUCGGGGAGGAAAUCCCCAGCGUUAAUACCGCUGGGGGAUGACAGUACCUGAAGAAUAAGCACCGGCUAACUACGUGCCAGCCGCCGCGGUAA